rnacentral:rRNA from 1 species
GACGGAGGAUGCAAGCGUUAUCCGGAAUGAUUGGGCGUAAAGCGUCCGCAGGUGGCAGUUCAAGUCUGCUGUGAAAUACCGGGGCUUAACUUCGGAAAGGCAGUGGAAACUGAACAGCUAGAGUAUGGUAGGGGCAGAGGGAAUUCCUGGUGUAGCGGUGAAAUGCGUAGAGAUCAGGAAGAACAUCGGUGGCGAAGGCGCUCUGCUGGACCAUAACUGACACUCAGGGACGAAAGCUAGGGGAGCGAAUGGG